rnacentral:piRNA from 1 species
UGAGUGUCGCACUAGGAUUUUCAUUGC